GUAGUAAAUAAAUUGUGGCUGUAGUCAUUUUGCCUUGUUUUGUUUUGCAGUGCUGGAGAUGGAACCCAGGCCUUUGCACAUGCUUCACCACCGAGCCGCACCGAUAGCCUGGGACCAUGCUUUUCAUCACCAGUUCCUUAAUUUAGAGAAAUAAGGAACUCGACUGCUGCUCAUCUCCCGGAAGGGAAGAGGAGAGUUGCUGUUCAGGAAUUAGCAGAUGUCAGCAGCCAAACAAUGCGACAGUCACCACCACCGCUGAGCUGAUGUCCCCUUUAUCUGCACAAAGGACUCUGCACUAACAUUCUGGGGUAAGGUAAAGCAUAUUUUCAUCUACUUCUUUGCAACACACGCCCAGU
rnacentral:lncRNA from 1 species